rnacentral:rRNA from 1 species
UACGUAGGGGGCAAGCGUUGUCCGGAUUUAUUGGGCGUAAAGAGCGUGUAGGCGGCUUGGUAGGUCCGCUGUGAAAACUCGAGGCUCAACCUCGAGAUGUCGGCGGAAACCACUUGGCUAGAGUCCGGAAGAGGAGAGUGGAAUUCCCGGUGUAGCGGUGAAAUGCGCAGAUAUCGGGAAGAACACCUAUGGCGAAGGCAGCUCUCUGGGACGGUACUGACGCUGAGACGCGAAAGCGUGGGGAGCGAAUAGG